rnacentral:sRNA from 2 species
UCGUUAUAAACGCUGAAUCCUUGCCUAGCAAGGAGCGGGGGAACCAAUCGAAGCCGCAGCAUGGCUUCACGGGGUGAAUCGUCCGGCACUUCCAGGUGCCGGAGGUAGGGCGACUUUCGCGCCCGAAUCCGUCAGCUAACCUCGCAAGCGUACGAAGGGGCAACA